GACGAACGCUGGCGGCGUGCCUAAUACAUGCAAGUCGAGCGGAACGAUGAAGAAGCUUGCUUCUUCUGAUUUUAGCGGCGGACGGGUGAGUAACACGUGGGCAACCUACCUUGUAGAUUGGGAUAACUCCGGGAAACCGGGGCUAAUACCGAAUAAUCCAUUUUGCUUCAUGGCGAGAUGUUAAAAGGCGGCUUCGGCUGUCACUACGAGAUGGGCCCGCGGCGCAUUAGCUAGUUGGUAGGGUAAUGGCCUACCAAGGCGACGAUGCGUAGCCGACCUGAGAGGGUGAUCGGCCACACUGGGACUGAGACACGGCCCAGACUCCUACGGGAGGCAGCAGUAGGGAAUCUUCCACAAUGGACGAAAGUCUGAUGGAGCAACGCCGCGUGAGUGAAGAAGGUUUUCGGAUCGUAAAACUCUGUUGUAAGGGAAGAACACGUACGAGAGUAACUGCUCGUACCUUGACGGUACCUUAUUAGAAAGCCACGGCUAACUACGUG
rnacentral:rRNA from 1 species